AAAUGUGGCAAUCCUAAGGGAAACCUUAAUAUAAGUACUUCCCGAACCAAAACAUUGUAGUAGGGAAAGGAAAGUAAAUCAACCGAGACUCCGAAAGUAAUGGUGAGUGAAAUCGGACCAGCCUAUCAAUAAUUUAAAAACUGAAAUUUCUUUCGAAUAAGAUAUCAUAUACCCGUCCGAAGGACAGCUUUGCGCGGGAGCCGAAGAAGGUGUUAGCCCUGUAGGGGUUUAAAUUAUUGUAUAUCAAGUACGAUGA
rnacentral:ncRNA from 1 species